rnacentral:rRNA from 2 species
CCGCGACCCCAGGUCAGGCGGGAUUACCCGCUGAGUUUAAGC